AGACGUGUUUACACGGCAGGAAUUAUAUGUUAUGCCUACCUGCAAGAGACGUGUUUGCACGGCAGGAAUUAUAUGUUAUGCCUACCUGCAAGAGACGUGUUUACACGGCAGGAAUUAUAUGUUAUGCCUACCUGCAAGAGACGUGUUUACACGGCAGGCAU
rnacentral:sRNA from 1 species